rnacentral:rRNA from 1 species
AGAGUUUGAUCCUGGCUCAGAUUGAACGCUGGCGGCAGGCCUAACACAUGCAAGUCGAGCGGAAACACAAGGGAGCUUGCUCCUGAGGUGUCGAGCGGCGGACGGGUGAGUAAUGCUUGGGAAACUGCCCAGUCGUGGGGGACAACCAUUGGAAACGAUGGCUAAUACCGCAUACGCCCUACGGGGGAAAGGAGGGGACUCUUCGGAGCCUUUCGCGAUUGGAUGUGCCCAAGUGGGAUUAGCUAGUUGGUGAGGUAAAGGCUCACCAAGGCGACGAUCCCUAGCUGGUUUGAGAGGAUGAUCAGCCACACUGGAACUGAGACACGGUCCAGACUCCUACGGGAGGCAGCAGUGGGGAAUAUUGCACAAUGGAGGAAACUCUGAUGCAGCCAUGCCGCGUGUAUGAAGAAGGCCUUCGGGUUGUAAAGUACUUUCAGCGAGGAGGAAAGGUUAGUAGUUAAUAACUGCUAGCUGUGACGUUACUCGCAGAAGAAGGACCGGCUAACUCCGUGCCAGCAGCCGCGGUAUA